ACAGUGUCGCAAUAGUAAUUCAAGCUAAUACGAGAGUAAUCAUUGAUUCACACAAUUGGCCAUCGCGCUUGGUUGAAGAGCUAGUGGAGCGAAGCUACCAUGUGCUGAAUUAUAACUGAACGCCUCUACGUAAGAAUCUGGGCUAGAAGAGACGCAUGCGCCUGCCGUCCCCUUGCCGACCCGCAGUAGGGUCCUAUGGCCCCCAAGGGCACAUGUCGUUGGCUAAGUCGCCGCGACAAAAGCGUUGCGGUGACUGCCUUGAAGUACAAUUUCAAUCGAGCGGCAGGUAGAAUCCAUUGCAGAUGACUUAAAUGCGCGACGGGGUAUUGUAAGUGGCAGAGUGGCCUUGCUGCCACGAUCCACUGAGAUUCAGCCCUUUGUCGCUCCGAUUC
rnacentral:ncRNA from 1 species